rnacentral:rRNA from 1 species
AUUAGAGUUUGAUCCUGGCUCAGAACGAACGCUGGCGGCACGCCUCAUACAUGCAAGUCGAGCGCGAAACCACCUUCGGGUGAUGUAGAGCGGCGAACGGGUGAGUAACAGGUGGAUAAUCUGCCCUUUGGCGGGGGACAACAGCUGGAAACGGCUGCUAAUACCGCAUGUGGUUGUAUGCUUAUGGUGUACAAAGAAAGGCGCCUCAAAGCGCCACCAAAGGAUGAGUCCGCCCCCCAUUAGCUAGUUGGUGAGAUAACAGCUCACCAAGGCUUCGAUGGGUAGCCGAGCUGAGAGGUUGAUCGGCCACACUGGAACUGAGACACGGUCCAGACACCUACGGGUGGCAGCAGUAGGGAAUAUUGCGCAAUGGAGAAGAACUCUGACGCAGCAAUACCGCGUGAGCGAAGAAGGUCUUCGGAUCGUAAAGCUCUGUUGUCAGGGAAGAAGAAAAUGACGGUACCUGAUGAGCAAGUCCCGGCUAACUACGUGCCAGCAGCCGCGGUAAUAAU